UACGGAGGGUGCAAGCGUUAUCCGGAUUCACUGGGUUUAAAGGGAGCGCAGGCGGUCUGGUAAGUCAGUGGUGAAAGCCUUGAGCUUAACUCGAGAACUGCCAUUGAUACUAUCAGUCUUGAAUAUUGUUGAGGUUUGCGGAAUGGGUCAUGUAGCGGUGAAAUGCAUAGAUAUGACCCGGAACACCUAUUGCGAAGGCAGCAGGCUAAACAAAGAUUGACGCUGAGGCUCGAAAGCGUGGGGAUCAAACAGG
rnacentral:rRNA from 1 species